rnacentral:rRNA from 1 species
UACCAGCUCUCCGAGUUGUAGGGAUGAUUAUUGGGCUUAAAGCGUCCGUAGCUGGCUUAGCAAGUCUCCUGUUAAAUUCAGCGACCUAAUCGUUGAGCCGCGGGAGAUACUACUAGGCUAGGAGGCGGGAGAGGUCGACGGUACUUUCGGGGUAGGGGUGAAAUCCUAUAAUCCCGGGAGGACCACCAGUGGCGAAGGCUGUCGACUAGAACGCGCUCGACGGUGAGGGACGAAAGCUGGGGGAGCGAACCGGAUUAGAUACCCGGGUAGUCCCAGCUGUAAACUAUGCGGGCUAGGUGUUGGGGUGGCUACGGGCCACUUCAGUGCCGCAGGAAAGCCAUUAAGCCCGCCGCCUGGGGAGUACGGCCGCAAGGCUGAAACUUAAGGAAUUGGCGGGGGAGCACCACAAGGCGUGAAGCUUGCGGUUC